CGGAGCAUUCCCAGGCCAGGCCACUGCCAGGAAAUUUUACUCACAAGGAUUCCCACUGGCCAUGAAAUUGGAGUACCCAAAUAACUGUGGUAUCACCCACCGAGGAAAAUAAUCAGCUUUUGAAGCAGCUCUGUGUGGAACUGGAAGAGUUGUGGUUGUCCAGCAUGCUAAAGAACUAACUAGAUUAACCUCAGAAGUUUACUACCAUACUUGAAUAUUGAACUGGAGCCUCCUAAAUACAGAAAACAUGAUAUUAAACAAAAGCUGCACACAACACAAAGUCUGCUUCAGAGCUGCCAGGCACAGUCUCCUAUUGCUGCAAGCAGCAGCAGCCCUGUCACCAGCUGAUUCCUUUGCUGAGGAAGGCUGGAGGUUUUUUGGAUUUUUUGGGAAGAGCUGUUCUGCAGCAUCCCUCUAAACUGCAUGAUUUACAGCAGGAGAACAGAGACAUGUCCAGCCACGUUAUUCUGAGCCAAAUUCAAGAACCAUCAUUUGGAAUUUGUGGUGCUUCCUGACCUUUUGAAAGCGUUCCCCAAGCAGCUGCAGGAGGAUUUAACAGGCAGAUCCAAGAAAUGUCCAGUCAGCACAGGACCUUUUCUGCCUCUCAGGAGCUGGAGGUUCUCUUGCUGCAUCCAUGAGCAUGCCACAAAAAACUCUCCCAAAAAUCUUUAAAGAAGUGCACUUUUGAGAAAGCAAAGACGUUCUUCAUGGCCUGUCCUUUUUCUGUAUGGUUCAUGAUGUCCCAGCUACAACAGACUGGCC